CCUACGGGGUGCAGCAGUGGGGAAUAUUGGACAAUGGGCGAAAGCCUGAUCCAGCCAUGCCGCGUGUGUGAAGAAGGCCUUCGGGUUGUAAAGCACUUUCAGUGGGGAAGAAAGCCUUGGGGCUAAUACCCUCGAGGAAGGACAUCACCCACAGAAGAAGCACCGGCUAACUCCGUGCCAGCAGCCGCGGUAAUACGGAGGGUGCGAGCGUUAAUCGGAAUUACUGGGCGUAAAGCGCGCGUAGGCGGUCUGAUAAGCCGGUUGUGAAAGCCCCGGGCUCAACCUGGGAACGGCAUCCGGAACUGUCAGGCUAGAGUGCAGGAGAGGAAGGUAGAAUUCCCGGUGUAGCGGUGAAAUGCGUAGAGAUCGGGAGGAAUACCAGUGGCGAAGGCGGUCUUCUGGACUGACACUGACGCUGAGGUGCGAAAGCGUGGGUAGCAAACAGGAUUAGAUACCCGAGUAGUC
rnacentral:rRNA from 1 species